rnacentral:rRNA from 1 species
UGGAUGCCUUGGCAUGCUGAGCCGAUGAAGGACGUGUAAGGCUGCGUUAAGCCUCGGGGAGUUGUCAAUAAAGCGUUGAUCCGAGGAUGUCCGAAUGGGGAAACCUGGCACCUGUUAUGGGGUGUUACCCUUCAGUGAAUUCAUAGCUGUUGUGGGGGUUUACGCGGGGAAGUGAAACAUCUCAGUACCCGUAGGAGGAGAAAAUAAAAUUAUGAUUCUGCUAGUAGUGGCGAACGAACGUGGAUGAGGCUAAACCGUAUGCA